rnacentral:misc_RNA from 1 species
UGGAAGUAUUCCACCGAAUUCUGCUAUUAGUGAGUGGACUAUGGAUGAGUGCCACUAUGUCAUAGAUUCUCAACAGUUCAAGCACGAACCAUCUGACAAAACUAUUCUCUUGUGUGAUGACAUAAGCUUUGGACAGGAGUCAGUUCCGAUAACUUGUGUGGUAGAAGAAAAUCUUUUUGCCUCCCUCCACAUUCUUGCUGAUGGCUCCAAUGGCCAAAUUACCACAAGUUCUCUACCUUGGGAGAGCUUUACCUACGCAACAAAACCAUUGAUUGAUCAAUCCUUGGAUCUUGCAAUAGGGAGUUCCCAAUUGGGGUGUGCUUGUCCAAAUUCAGCAUGCUCUUCUCAAACUUGUGAUCAUAUUUACCUCUUUGAUAAUGAUUACGAUGAUGCCAAAGAUAUUUAUGGGAAGCCUAUGCGUGGAAGGUUCCCAUAUGAUGAGAGAGGUCGGAUCAUGUUGGAGGAGGGCUACCUUAUCUAUGAAUGCAAUCAAUGGUGCUCGUGCAGUAAAUCUUGUCAGAAUAGGGUUUUACAGAGUGGAGUGCGUGUGAAGCUAGAA